UACGAAGGGGGCUAGCGUUGCUCGGAAUCACUGGGCGUAAAGGGUGCGUAGGCGGGUCUUUAAGUCAGGGGUGAAAUCCUGGAGCUCAACUCCAGAACUGCCUUUGAUACUGGGUGUCUUGAGUAUGGAAGAGGUAAGUGGAAUUGCGAGUGUAGAGGUGAAAUUCGUAGAUAUUCGCAGGAACACCAGUGGCGAAGGCGGCUUACUGGUCCAUUACUGACGCUGAGGUGCGAAAGCGUGGGGAGCAAACAGGG
rnacentral:rRNA from 1 species